rnacentral:lncRNA from 1 species
AAACUAGAUUUUGAUACCCGGAGAGGGCCAAUUAUGAAUGAGGAUCGAAAUCAGAUGCUGGGGCAUAAACCUGAGUCUCGACGACGACUCCGAGGUUCUUUUGGAGAUCGGAGACUGAGGUUUGAUAGCAGACUAAAUAGGCUUUAUAUGAGCAUUGGUUUUGGAGUGAUUUGGAGUUGAUAUGACUUUGUAAGAGCUUUGCAAAGUCGAGGUUUGUUUCGGAUGACUUGGAUUUUAAGAAAUAAAAUAGGGUUUAUAUUUUGGGUGAUUUCAAAAGUUUUGUAAUAGAUCUAUGGGUGAAAUUUUGUAGAUUUAUGGCUAUAGUUGUUUUUAAUAUGUGUAGUAAAAUUUAACUUGAUCUAACGGUUGAAUUAAGGAAUAUUGAGGUUUAAGUGGGUCAAGGUCUCAAAAAGUAGAAUUUUAGGUCCAGUGGGAGUUUUUGAGAUUUCUUGCAAUCUAUUGGUUGGAUUGGAGUGAAACUUGCAUAAGAAGAUAUUAAACUUGUUUUUCUAUAUGUAUAAGAAUUUUUAGAUCAAUCGAAAGGUGCGAAGGAGAGAUAUUGGCUCUGAAAGAUUGGCAUCUAGAUUGGAGAAGGAGGCCGGCUAAUACCCGAGCAAAUUUUUGAGGAU